rnacentral:rRNA from 1 species
GACGAACGCUGGCGGCGUGCCUAAUACAUGCAAGUCGAGCGAAGUUUUUCUGGUGCUUGCACCGGAAAAACUUAGCGGCGAACGGGUGAGUAACACGUAAAGAACCUGCCUCAUAGACUGGGACAACUAUUGGAAACGAUAGUUAAUACCGGAUAAUAGCAUUAACUGCAUGGUUGAUGUUUAAAAGUUGGUUUUGCUAACACUAUGAGAUGGCUUUGCGGUGCAUUAGCUAGUUGGUGGGGUAAAGGCCUACCAAGGCGACGAUGCAUAGCCGACCUGAGAGGGUGAUCGGCCACACUGGGACUGAGACACGGCCCAGACUCCUACGGGAGGCAGCAGUAGGGAAUCUUCCGCAAUGGGCGAAAGCCUGACGGAGCAACGCCGCGUGAGUGAAGAAGGAUUUCGGUUCGUAAAGCUCUGUUGUUAGGGAAGAAUGAUUGUGUAGUAACUAUACACAGUAGAGACGGUACCUAACCAGAAAGCCACGGCUAACUACGUG